rnacentral:lncRNA from 1 species
CGCCGCUGGGCGGGAAGCUGAGCAGGGCUGAGGGGCGAUGCGUACGUGCAGCACGGAGAGAGAAGCAAGCCAUUGCACUUGGACAGUCGGAACCAGAUUUUAGAACACUUUAAGUAUGUGAUUAUGGGACUAAUGUGUGACUGUAAUUACUUCCUUUAUGUAUGCCAGCUGGUUCAUGAUUUUUUCAAAUCUUGUGAAUUCUGGUUUUCUGAGCCUCCCUCCUAAGGAGCUAGGCUGAGCAGUGGGGGUUUCAAUUAAAAA